UCGAGAAUCUUCCGCAAUGGGCGAAAGCCUGACGGAGCGACGUUACGUGAAUGAUGAAGCCCUUCGGGGUGUAAAGUUCUUUUAUAUGGGAAGAAGUUAUUGACUGUACCAUAUGAAUAAGGGGUUGCUAACUCUGUGCCAGCAGCAGCGGUAAUACAGAGACCCCGAGCGUUACCCGGAUUUAUUGGGCGUAAAGGGUCCGUAGGUGGCGUAGUAAGUUUUGGGUUAAAACUCAUUAGCUUAACUUUUGAGGUGCUCAAAAUACUGCUACACUAGAGGGCGUUAGGGGUUAACGGAACCGACAGAGUAGGGGUGAAAUCCGUUGAUAUUGUCGGGAACACCAAAAGCGAAGGCAGUUAACUAGGACGACCCUGACACUGAGGGACGAAAGCGUGGGGAGCAAAAAGG
rnacentral:rRNA from 1 species